rnacentral:rRNA from 1 species
UGGUCAAGUUAUUAAGGGUGCAGGGCGGAUGCCUUGGCACUAGGAGCCGAUGAAGGACGUGAUAAGCUGCGAUAAGCUUCGGGGAGUUGCACGUAAACUUUGAUCCGAAGAUUUCCGAAUGAGGAAACUCACUUAGAGUAAUGUCUAAGUAUCAUUAAGUGAAUACAUAGCUUAAUGAGGGGAACUCAGGGAACUGAAACAUCUAAGUACCUGAAGGAAGAGAAAGAAAUUCGAUUCCGUAAGUAGCGGCGAGCGAACGCGGAUUAGCCCAAACCAAUAAAGUUUUCUUUAUUGGGGUUGCGGACAUAUCAUAACGAAGAGGUAUCGUAAUUGAAGAGGUUUGGAAAGACCCACCACAGAAGGUAAUAGUCCUGUAUGUUAAACGAGAAGACUUUAGAUAUGAUCCAGAGUACCACGGGACACGUGAAACCCUGUGGGAAGCAGGAGGGACCACCCUCCAAGGCUAAAUACUACCUAGUGACCGAUAGCGUAUAGUACCGUGAGGGAAAGGUGAAAAGAACCCCGGGAGGGGGAGUGAAAUAGAACCUGAAACCCUGCACUUACAAGCUGUGGAAGCACAUUUCUUGUGUGACCGCGUACUUUUUUGUAGAACGGGCCAACGAGUUACGUUAAGUAGCAAGGUUAAGCACUUAAGGUGCGGAGCCGUAGCGAAAGCGAGUUUUAACUGAGCGUUCAGUUACUUGACGUAGACCCGAAACCGGGCGACCUACCCAUGAGCAGGAUGAAGCGAAAGUAAAAUUUCGUGGAGGUCCGAACCCACGAGCGUUGAAAAGCUCGGGGAUGACUUGUGGGUAGCGGUGAAAUUCCAAUCGAGCCCGGAGAUAGCUGGUUCUCCCCGAAAUAGCUUUAGGGCUAGCCUCAAGGUGAGAGAUACGGAGGUAGAGCACUGAAUGUCCUAGGGGGUAUUGCACCUACCGAAGACUAUCAAACUCCGAAUGCCGUCAUCUUAUACUUGGGAGUCAGACUGUGGGUGAUAAGAUUCAUAGUCGAAAGGGCAACAGCCCAGAUCGUCAGCUAAGGUCCCUAAAUGUAAGUUAAGUGGUAAAGGAUGUGGGAUUGCACAGACAACCAGGAUGUUGGCUUAGAAGCAGCCACUCAUUCAAAGAGUGCGUAAUAGCUCACUGGUCGAGUGAUCCUGCGCCGAAGAUUUCCGGGGCUAAAACUUACUACCGAAGCUACGGCAUCAGUAAUGAUGGGUAGGGGAGCUUCCCAUACGGGUUGAAGCAUGACCGUAAGGACAUGUGGACAGUAUGGGAGUGAGAAUGUUGGCAUGAGUAGCGAGAUGUGGGUGAGAAUCCCACAGGCCGUAAACCCAAGGUUUCCAGGGGAAGGUUCGUCCGCCCUGGGUUAGUCGGGACCUAAGCUGAGGCCGAAAGGCGUAGGUGAUGGACAACAGGUUGAUAUUCCUGUACUACCGAUAACCGUUUGAGAGAUGGGAUGACACAGUAGGAUAAGCUAAGCACACUGUUGGUUAUGUGUGCCCAAGCAUUGAGGCAGUCAAAGUAGGCAAAUCCGCUUUGAUAAUGCUGGGAUGUGAUGGGGAGCGAAAUUUAGUAGCGAAGUAGCUGAUUUCACACUGUCAAGAAAAGUCUCUAUCGAGGUUAAAGGUACCCGUACCGCAAACCGACACAGGUGGGUGAGGAGAGUAUCCUAAGGCCAGCGAGAGAACUGUUGUUAAGGAACUCGGCAAAAUGACCCCGUAACUUAGGGAUAAGGGGUGCCACCAUCAGGUGGCCGCAGAGAAUAGGCCCAAGCGACUGUUUACCAAAAACAUAGGUUUCUGCUAAGUCGCAAGACGAUGUAUAGGAGCUGACGCCUGCCCGGUGCUGGAAGGUUAAGGGGAUCUGUUAGAGCAAUCGAAGCAGUGAACUUAAGCCCCAGUAAACGGCGGCCGUAACUAUAACGGUCCUAAGGUAGCGAAAUUCCUUGUCGGGUAAGUUCCGACCCGCACGAAAGGCGUAACGAUUUGGGCACUGUCUCAACAACAGACUCGGUGAAAUUGUAAUUCCGGUGAAGAUGCCGGAUACCUGCGACAGGACGGAAAGACCCCAUGGAGCUUUACUGUAGCUUGACAUUGGGUCUUGGUACUACAUGUACAGGAUAGGUGGGAGGCUUUGAAACCAGGACGCCAGUUUUGGCGGAGCCAUCCUUGGGAUACCACCCUUGUAGUACUGGGACUCUAACCAUAGGCCAUGAAUCUGGUCUUGGGACACUGUCAGGUGGGCAGUUUGACUGGGGCGGUCGCCUCCCAAAAGGUAACGGAGGCGCUCAAAGGUUCUCUCAGUACGGUCGGAAAUCGUACGUAGAGUGUAAAGGCAAAAGAGAGCUUGAUUGCAAGACAUACAGGUCGAGCAAGGAUGAAAAUCGGACUUAGUGAUCCGGUGGUUCUGCGUGGAAGGGCCAUCGCUCAACGGAUAAAAGCUACCCUGGGGAUAACAGGCUUAUCUCCCCCAAGAGUCCACAUCGACGGGGAGGUUUGGCACCUCGAUGUCGGCUCAUCACAUCCUGGGGCUGUAGUAGGUCCCAAGGGUUGGGCUGUUCGCCCAUUAAAGUGGUACGCGAGCUGGGUUCAGAACGUCGUGAGACAGUUCGGUCCCUAUCCGUCGCAGGCGUAGGAAAUUUGAGAAGACCUGUCCUUAGUACGAGAGGACCGGGAUGGACGUACCUCUGGUGUACCAGUUGUCCUGCCAAGGGCAUGGCUGGGUAGCUAUGUACGGAAUGGAUAAGCGCUGAAAGCAUCUAAGCGCGAAGCCAACUUCAAGAUAAGAUUUCCCACCGCAAGGGUAAGACCCCAGAAAGACUAUCUGGUUGAUAGGUCGAAGGUGUAAGUGCAGCAAUGUAUUUAGCUUAUCGAUACUAAUAGGUCGAGGACUUGACCAAU